rnacentral:rRNA from 1 species
GACGAACGCUGGCGGCGUGCUUAACACAUGCAAGUCGAACGGAAAGGCCCUGCUUGCAGGGUACUCGAGUGGCCAACGGGUGAGUAACACGUGGGUGGUCUGCCCUGCACUUCGGGAUAAGCCUGGUAAACUGGGUCUAAUUCCUGAUAGGAGCCAUUUUUAGUGUGAUGGUUGGAAAGUUUUUUCGGUGUAGGAUGAGCUCGCGGCCUAUCAGCUUGUUGGUGGGGUGAUGGCCUACCGAAGCGGCGACGGGUAGCCGGACUGAGAGGCUGACCGGCCACCUUGAGACUGAGAUGAGGCCGCGACUGCGACGGGAGGGAGAAGUGGGGAAUCUUGAACAAUGGGCGCCAGCCUGAUGCAGAGGGGCUGCGGGGGGGAUGACUGUGUUAGGGUUGAAGACUAAUUUCGCUAGGGACGAUGCUUUUUGUGACGGUACCUAGAUAGGAAGCACCGGCUAACUACGUG